UGAUCAGCCAUGCCGCGUGUGUGAAGAAGGCCUUUUGGUUGUAAAGCACUUUAAGCAGUGAAGAAGACUCUUCGGUUAAUACCCGGGGACGAUGACAUUAGCUGCAGAAUAAGCACCGGCUAACUCUGUGCCAGCAGCCGCGGUAAU
rnacentral:rRNA from 1 species